rnacentral:rRNA from 1 species
ACGGGUGAGUAACGCGUGGGUAACCUGCCUCAUACACAUGGAUAACAUACCGAAAGGUAUGCUAAUACAAGAUGAUAUAAGAGAUUCGCAUGGAUUUCUUAUCAAAGCUCCGGCGGUAUGAGAUGGACCCGCGUCUGAUUAGCUAGUUGGUAAGGUAAUGGCUUACCAAGGCGACGAUCAGUAGCCGACCUGAGAGGGUGAUCGGCCACAUUGGAACUGAGACACGGUCCAAACUCCCUACGGGAGGCAGCAGUGGGGAAUAUUGCACAAUGGGCGAAAGCCUGAUGCAGCAACGCCGCGUGAGCGAUGAAGGCCUUCGGGUCGUAAAGCUCUGUCCUCAAGGAAGAUAAUGACGGUACUUGAGGAGGAAGCCCCGGCUAACUACGUG